rnacentral:rRNA from 1 species
AAUGAACGUUGGCGGCGUGGAUUAGGCAUGCAAGUCGUACGCACAGCUUCGGCUGUGAGUGGCGCAAGGGUGAGUAAUGCGAAGGUAACCAACCCUGGUGUUGGGCAUAACCGCGGGAAACUGCGGGUAAUUCCCAGCGACGUCGCGAGAUGGCAUCAUCUUGCGACCAAAGGUGUGAUUCCGCUCUAGGACGGGCCUUCGUGGUAUUAGGUAGUUGGUGAGGUAACGGCUCACCAAGCCGACGAUGCCUACCGGGUGUGAGAGCAUGACCCGGCACACUGGAACUGAGACACUGUCCAGACACCUACGGGUGGCUGCAGUCGAGAAUCUUCGGCAAUGGGCGAAAGCCUGACCGAGCGACGCCGCGUGAGGGAAGAAGGCCUUCGGGUUGUAAACCUCUUUCGUAGAGGAGGAAGGGGCCGUGGCAGAGCGGUCUUUGACCUAUUCUAGGAAGAAGCUUGGGCUAAGUUCGUGCCAGCAGCCGCGGUAAAGAGUAGUACAC